rnacentral:rRNA from 1 species
AUACGGAGGGUGCAAGCGUUGUUCGGAAUCACUGGGCGUAAAGGGCGCGCAGGCGGUUUGGUAAGUCAGAUGUGAAAGCCCACGGCUCAACCGUGGAAGUGCAUUUGAAACUGCCAGACUUGAGUACCAGAGGGGAAAGUGGAAUUCCCGGUGUAGAGGUGAAAUUCGUAGAUAUCGGGAGGAAUACCGGUGGCGAAGGCGACUUUCUGGCUGGAUACUGACGCUGAGGCGCGAAAGCGUGGGGAGCAAACAGCAUUAGAAACCCUAGUAGUCC